UCAUGCUCGUCGGGGACCUUGGGUUCUAAGUUUAAAAAGUUUACUGCAUCCGUUGUAAAGUAUUUUUGACACCAAGGAGUAAUUUACUCUUAUUUCCCUUUGAAACUGUGCCCUGAAUACUUUACAAUUCCGAGCUUGUUUACUGAUUAUUCAGUGCCAUCCAUAAUUAUAUGUUCUAUUUAUGUAUAUAUUUUUUGUAGGCUGUUAGAAAACCUUUGGGAUGAAGAACCAACUGUAAUGACUGAAGUAAUGAAAACCAUAUCUUUGGAGGUUGUGUGGGAGAAGAUGCUGCAUCACAUCCACCAAGAAAUUCACUAUGUAAUUGAGCAUCGUUUGAUGGACUGGAAGGAUCUAAAAGAUGGUUGUCUUAGGGUGGAGCAGCACUCCAUGACACCAAAACAAAGCCAACGUCAGAUUCUUGUUGGGAAAAAUGGCUCAAAGAUUGACUAAGUCAUUAACCCAUUCUCAUAUGGAAAACUAGCUCCUAUAGUCCUAUGCUAGAAUGGCUGAUAGUGUAUUUGGUGAGAAGAGCUUUGUCAAUUAACAUGUCCAAUAAGAUGUAUUAUUUGAAUGAUUUGUGCGUAUUAUCGAUACUACUGUGUUCGCACCAUUGAAUUUGGACAAAUAUUUCAAGAGAAUUGGUAUUGAAGCCAAUGAAGAAUUGAGAUCCAUAUUCAAGAGAAA